GAGUUUGAUCUUGGCUCAGGACGAACGCUGGCGGCGUGCUUAACACAUGCAAGUCACGGGGGCCCGCAAGGGCAACCGGCGAACGGGUGCGUAACACGUGAGCAAGCUUCCGAUUUGUGGGGGAUAGCCGGCCUAACGGCCGGGUAAUACCGCAUACGUUCACUGGGCGGCAUCGUCUGGUGAGGAAACCUCCGGGGCAAAUCGAGGCGCUCGCGGCCUAUCAGCUAGUUGGCGGGGUAAUGGCCCACCAAGGCGACGACGGGUAGCUGGUCUGAGAGGAUGGCCAGCCACAUUGGGACUGCGACACGGCCCAGACUCCUACGGGAGGCAGCAGUGGGGAAUAUUGCGCAAUGGACGAAAGUCUGACGCAGCGACGCCGCGUGUGGGAUGAAGCUCUUCGGGGUGUAAACCACUGUUGCCCGGGACGAAAUGCCCUUUCGAGGGAAUUGACGGUACCGGGUGAGGAAGCACCGGCUAACUCCGUGCCAGCCGCCGCAGUAAU
rnacentral:rRNA from 1 species